CUUUUAACUUGCUCUAGCCGUUCGUCUUGCUCUUGAGUAAGCUCGUGUGCUUGCUGCUCGCUAGUCUCCAUCUUGUUAUCCGUGAAGUGUUUGCGUAUCUUCUCUGGUUCCAGUUCUUCGACUCCAAGGACGUUCGUUGCUAGCUUGAAUUUUCUCCAAAAAUCUACUACCAAAGUACGACGUGUCUCUGUCCGGACGCCGUUUUUACGCACGACCGGAAUGGUUGCACUGGGAUGCCUAACUCUUCUACCAGUUCUCUACAAUCUUUUCCAAGUAUACUUAUCGAUGCACCCGAGUCCAGCAGGCCUCGGACGGACUUUUCCCCGAUCAGAAUGUCCACAAAAGUUCUCGGAUCGUCUAUGUCGUUUGAGAUGGUCGUCGCUGCCACUUCUUGCCGUGUUUCCUUACGUUGUGUGUAUCGUUGGCGCACCUUUUGUACCUUCCGCGUGACCAAAUUCGGAGUGCCUAGUGAAUGCUCUUGAAAAAUACGUUGACGUGUCCGAUAAUAAUUUCGAAUUCGCUGCUCUAUUGGUUUUAUAGGGUUUUCUCGAAAAGGAUUUCUCCACUUUCUAUUAUUCUCACAAGGGUUUCGCAAAAUUUUAAUUUCUUUGUUUCUUUCCAGUGGUUCUUCUCGGUCGUUUAACUGGGGUUCGGUAUUGGUGGCUUUAUCUACUCCGAGACCUGUGUGGAGCGUGACUGACCCGGCACCGUCGCGUUCCGCAUUCCAUUUCCCGGGUUGCAUCUUAUACAAUUCGGCGUGAUUACCUCGGGUAUGACCUUCUUUAUCGCUGUUCCAGCAACGUAGGGGCUUUUUAGUUUUAACCACUUCACGUGUUGCUACUCGGUUUGGCUGCCAAUUCGGAAGCACCUCCUCGACGACGACUUGACCCUCAUCGUCGCCGAGUUUAUGAUCACCGCUUCUAUCAAACGUCAGCUCAUUAGCAUGAUACGUUCUCUGAGGAACACUACCCAGUAUCAGGCGCUCACGUCUUGGGAAACUCCUCUCUGCCUCUAUGCACUCUAUGCGCAGCUGAUCCACCGUCCAUAUGGGAAUUGGAUAAACAAUUCGCGCCAAUGACUCCCUAAGGUUACGCUUGAUAAUUUUCACUGCUUCGUACUCUGCUAUAGGGUUCCGCAAACCUAUCCACGGAUUCACCUGGCUGUUGCUUCCGUUCCGUCAGA